rnacentral:rRNA from 1 species
AGUGAACGCUGGCGGUAGGCCUAACACAUGCAAGUCGAACGGCAGCACAGUAAGAGCUUGCUCUUACGGGUGGCGAGUGGCGGACGGGUGAGGAAUACAUCGGAAUCUACUUUUUCGUGGGGGAUAACGUAGGGAAACUUACGCUAAUACCGCAUACGACCUACGGGUGAAAGCAGGGGAUCUUCGGACCUUGCGCGAUUGAAUGAGCCGAUGUCGGAUUAGCUAGUUGGCGGGGUAAAGGCCCACCAAGGCGACGAUCCGUAGCUGGUCUGAGAGGAGGAUCGGCCGCACUGGAGCGGGGACACGGACCAGACGCCUGCGAGAGGCAGCAGUGGGGAAUGUUGGACAAUGGGCGCAAGCCUGAUCCAGCCAUACCGCGUGGGUGAAGAAGGCCUUCGGGGUGUGAAGCCCUUUUGUUGGGAAAGAAAAGCAGCAGGUUAAUACCCCGCUGUUCUGACGGUACCCAAAGAAUAAGCACCGGCUAACUUCGUG